rnacentral:rRNA from 1 species
CCUACGGGCGGCAGCAGUGGGGAAUAUUGGACAAUGGGGGCAACCCUGAUCCAGCCAUGCCGCGUGUGUGAAGAAGGCCCUCGGGUUGUAAAGCACUUUCAGUGAGGAAGAACGCCUGGUGGUUAAUACCCAUCAGGAAAGACAUCACUCACAGAAGAAGCACCGGCUAACUCCGUGCCAGCAGCCGCGGUAAUACGGAGGGUGCGAGCGUUAAUCGGAAUUACUGGGCGUAAAGCGGGCGUAGGUGGCUUGAUAAGCCGGUUGUGAAAGCCCCGGGCUCAACCUGGGAACGGCAUCCGGAACUGUCAAGCUAGAGUGCAGGAGAGGAAGGUAGAAUUCCCGGUGUAGCGGUGAAAUGCGUAGAGAUCGGGAGGAAUACCAGUGGCGAAGGCGGCCUUCUGGACUGACACUGACACUGAGGUGCGAAAGCGUGGGUAGCAAACAGGAUUAGAUACCCUGGUAGUC